rnacentral:rRNA from 1 species
AGAGCGAACGCUGGCGGCAGGCUUAACACAUGCAAGUCGAGCGCCCCGCAAGGGGAGCGGCAGACGGGAGAGUAACACGUGGGAACAUACCUUUUGGUUCGGAACAACUGAGGGAAACUUCAGCUAAUACCGGAUAAGCCCUUACGGGGAAAGAUUUAUCGCCGAAAGAUUGGCCCGCGUCUGAUUAGCUAGUUGGUGAGGUAAUGGCUCACCAAGGCGACGAUCAGUAGCUGGUCUGAGAGGAUGAUCAGCCUCAUUGGGACUGAGACACGGCCCAAACUCCUACGGGAGGCAGCAGUGGGGAAUAUUGGACAAUGGGCGCAAGCCUGAUCCAGCCAUGCCGCGUGAGUGAUGAAGGCCUUAGGGUUGUAAAGCUCUUUUAGUAGGGAAGAAGCGAAGUGUUUUACAUGGAGUGACGGUACCUGCAGAAAAGCACCGGCUAACUACGUGCCAGCAGCCGC